rnacentral:tRNA from 1 species
GGGUUAAUAGUUAAUAUUAUAAUAAAAGUUUUGUAAACUUUAGUAAGCUUAGUCUUUUACCCU